UGGGAAACGAUGUGGGAAGGCACAGACAGCCAGGAGGUUGGCUUAGAAGCAGCCAUCCUUUAAAGAAAGCGUAAUAGCUCACUGGUCUAAUGGUUCUGCGCCGAAAAUGUAACGGGGCUAAGCACGAUACCGAAGCCGCGGACGCGUACUCGUACGCGUGGUAGGGGAGCGUUCUCAUAUGGGACGAAGGUACAUCGGAAGGUGUGCUGGACUUGUGAGAAGUGAUUAUGCUGGCAUGAGUAACGAUAAAACGGGUGAGAAACCCGUUCGCCGUAAACCCAAGGUUUCCUGGGUAAAGUUAAUCUUCCCAGGGUUAGUCGGCCCCUAAGGCGAGGCAGAAAUGCGUAGUCGAUGGGAAACAGGUUAAUAGUCCUGUACCUGCUGGAGAACCGUCUGAGCGACGGGGGGACGCAGAAGGGUAGACCAUCCGGGCGCUGGAUGUCCCGGUUCAAGCCUGUAGGCGGAAGACUCAGGCAAAUCCGAGUCUUCGUUAACGCUGAGAGGUGAUGACGAGUCAUUAGACAGAAGUGGUUGAGCCCAUGCUGCCGAGAAAAGCCUCUAAGCGAGGUUCUCCGGGAGACCGUACCGUAAACCGACACAGGUGGGUGGGGUGAGUAACCCUAGGCGCUUGAGCGAACUCUGGUUAAGGAACUCGGCAAAAUGACCCCGUAACUUCGGGAGAAGGGGUGCCCUCUUUGGUGAUGGAAUUCACUUCUUAAGCUGAGGAGGGUCGCAGAGAAAUGGCGGGGGCGACUGUUUACUAAAAACACAGGUCUCUGCGAAGUCGUAAGACGACGUAUAGGGACUGACGCCUGCCCGGUGCCGGAAGGUUAAGGGGAGAUGUUAGGAGCAAUCCGAAGCAUUGAACCGAAGCCCCGGUAAACGGCGGCCGUAACUAUAACGGUCCUAAGGUAGCGAAAUUCCUUGUCGGGUAAGUUCCGACCUGCACGAAUGGCGUAACGAUCUCCGCGCUGUCUCAACCAGAGGCUCAGUGAAAUUGGAAUCGCGGUGAAGAUACCGUGUACCCGCAGCAAGACGGAAAGACCCUGUGCACCUUUACUAUACCUUGACAUUGCGUCUUGGGCUGGCAUGUGUAGGAUAGGUGGGAGGCUGUGAACCCUGUACGCCAGUAUGGGGGGAGCCAACCUUGAAAUACCACCCUUGCCAGUCUAGGACCCUAACCCUGACCCGUUAUCCGGGCAGGGGACCGUGUCAGGCGGGUAGUUUGACUGGGGCGGUCGCCUCCUAAAGCGUAACGGAGGCGCGCAAAGGUUCCCUCAGGCUGAUUGGAAACCAGCCGUCGAGUGCAAAGGCAUAAGGG
rnacentral:rRNA from 1 species